rnacentral:tRNA from 1 species
GCAGGUAUAGCUCAAGUGGUAGAGCACGUGCUUAGCGUGCAUGAAGUUCUGGGUUCAAUCCCCAGUCCCUCCU